rnacentral:rRNA from 1 species
GACGAACCGUGCGAACGUUGUUCGGAAUCACUGGGCUUAAAGCGUGUGUAGGCGGGCCGUUAAGUAUCUUGUGAAAUCCCCCGGCUCAACCGGGGAAUGGCUGGAUAUACUGGCGGUCUUGAGCGAUCUAGGGGCAGAUGGAACAAGUGGUGGAGCGGUGAAAUGCGUAGAUAUCACUUGGAACGCCAAAGGUGAAAACAGUCUGCUGGGGAUCUGCUGACGCUGAGACACGAAAGCCAGGGGAGCGAACGGG